GACGAACGCUGGCGGCGUGCCUAACACAUGCAAGUCGAACGGAAAGGCCCUACUUUUGUGGGUUGCUCGAGUGGCGAACGCGUGAGUAACACGUGAGUAACCUGCCCUUGUCUUUGGGAUAACUUCAGGAAACUGGGUCUAAUACCGGAUAGGAUCUCCUGCUCCAUGGUGUGGGUUGGAAAGUUUCGGCGGUUGUGGCUGGUCUCGCGGCUUAGCAGCUUGUUGGUGGGGUAGUGGCUUACCAAGGCUUUGACGGGUAGCCGGCCUGAGAGGGUUACCGGCGACAUGAGGACUGAGAGACGGCCCAGACGGCAAUGGGAGGCAGCAGGGGGAAGUAUGGCACAGUGAGCGGGAGCCAGAGGCGACGGCGUCGGGAGCGGGAAGACGGCCUUUGGGGGAUAAACAGCUGUCGCAUGAGACGAAGAGUGAGUGACGGUAAUGGGUAAAGAAGCACCGGCUAACUACGUG
rnacentral:rRNA from 1 species